rnacentral:rRNA from 1 species
GAUGAACGCUGGCGGCGUGCCUAAUACAUGCAAGUCGAGCGAACAGAUGAGGAGCUUGCUCCUCUGACGUUAGCGGCGGACGGGUGAGUAACACGUGGAUAACCUACCUAUAAGACUGGGAUAACUUCGGGAAACCGGAGCUAAUACCGGAUAAUAUAUUGAACCGCAUGGUUCAAUGGUGAAAUACGGUUUUGCUGUAACUUAUAGAUGGAUCCGCGCCGCAUUAGCUAGUUGGUAAGGUAACGGCUUACCAAGGCAACGAUGCGUAGCCGACCGGAGAGGGUGGUCGGCGACCUUGGAAGUGAAACACGCGCCAGACUCCUAAGGGAGGCAGCAGUAGGGAAUCUUCCGCAAUGGGCGAAAGCCUGACGGAGCAACGCCGCGUGAGUGAUGAAGGCCUUCGGAUCGGAAAACUCUGUUAUUAGGGAAGAACAAAUGUGUAAGUAACUAUGCACGGCUUGACGGUACCUAAUCAGAAAGCCACGGCUAACUACGUG